UUGGAGGGCAAGUCUGGUGCCAGCAGCCGCGGUAAUUCCAGCUCCAAUAGCGUAUAUUAAAGUUGUUGCAGUUAAAAAGCUCGUAGUUGAACUUCGGGAUCAAUGGAUCGGUCAUGCCGUUGGUAUGUACUGGUCACAUUGGUUCUCACCUUCUAAGGAACCAUGAUGUCAUUCAUUUGAUGUUGUGGGGAAUUAGGACUGUUACCUUGAAAAAAUUAGAGUGUUUAAAGCAGGCUAACGCUUGAAUACAUUAGCAUGGAAUAAUGAAAUAGGACGUUUAAUUCUAUUUUGUUGGUUUCUAGGAUUGACGUAAUGAUUAAUAGGGAUAGUUGGGGGCAUUAGUAUUCAAUUGUCAGAGGUGAAAUUCUUGGAUUUAUUGAAGACUAACUACUGCGAAAGCAUUUGCCAAGGAUGUUUUCAUUAAUCAAGAACGAAAGUUAGGGGAUCGAAGACGAUCAGAUACCGUCGUAGUCUUAACCAUAAACUAUGCCGGCUAGGGAUCGGAUGAUGUUAAUUUUUUAAUGACUCAUUCGGCGCCUUACGGGAAAC
rnacentral:rRNA from 1 species